GACGAACGCUGGCGGCGUGCUUAACACAUGCAAGUCGAACGGAAAGGCCCUGCUUUUGUGGGGUGCUCGAGUGGCGAACGGGUGAGUAACACGUGAGUAACCUGCCCUUGACUUUGGGAUAACUUCAGGAAACUGGGGCUAAUACCGGAUAGGAGCUCCUGCUGCAUGGUGGGGGUUGGAAAGUUUCGGGGGUUGGGGAUGGACUCGCGGCUUAUCAGCUUGUUGGUGGGGUAGUGGCUUCCCAAGGCUUUGACGGGUAGCCGGCCUGGGAGGGUGACCGGGCCCAGUGGGACUGGGGAGGCGGCCGGACGGCAUCGGGGGGGAGGGGCGGGGGAUUGUGCGAGAAAGGCCGAAGGAGUGAGGAGGCAUCCCGGCUGGGGGAGGGCGGCCCUAAGGGUAGAAACCGCUUUCGCCUGUGACGAAGCGUGAGUGACGGUAAUGGGUAAAGAAGCACCGGCUAACUACGUG
rnacentral:rRNA from 1 species